rnacentral:rRNA from 1 species
GAAUUCGCCCUUAGAGUUUGAUCCUGGCUCAGGACGAACGCUGGCGGCGCGCCUAACACAUGCAAGUCGAACGAGCGAGAGGAGGUUUACUUUCUCAAGCGAGUGGCGAACGGGUGAGUAACGCGUGAGGAACCUGCCUCAAAGAGGGGGACAACAGUUGGAAACGACUGCUAAUACCGCAUAAGCCCACGACCCGGCAUCGGGUAGAGGGAAAAGGAGCAAUCCGCUUUGAGAUGGCCUCGCGUCCGAUUAGCUAGUUGGUGAGGUAAUGGCCCACCAAGGCGACGAUCGGUAGCCGGACUGAGAGGUUGAACGGCCACAUUGGGACUGAGACACGGCCCAGACUCCUACGGGAGGCAGCAGUGGGGAAUAUUGCACAAUGGGGGAAACCCUGAUGCAGCGACGCCGCGUGGAGGAAGAAGGUCUUCGGAUUGUAAACUCCUGUUGUUGAGGAAGAUAAUGACGGCACUCAACAAGGAAGUGACGGCUAACUACGUGCCAGCAGCCGCGGUAAAACGUAGGUCACAAGCGUUGUCCGGAAUUACUGGGUGUAAAGGGAGCGCAGGCGGGAAGGCAAGUUGGAAGUGAAAUCCAUGGGCUCAACCCAUGAACUGCUUUCAAAACUGUUUUUCUUGAGUAGUGCAGAGGUAGGCGGAAUUCCCGGUGUAGCGGUGGAAUGCGUAGAUAUCGGGAGGAACACCAGUGGCGAAGGCGGCCUACUGGGCACCAACUGACGCUGAGGCUCGAAAGUGUGGGUAGCAAACAAAAUUAGAUACCCUGGUAGUCCACACUGUAAACGA